rnacentral:rRNA from 1 species
AUUGAACGCUGGCGGCAGGCCUAACACAUGCAAGUCGAGCGAGCGGCGGACGGGUGAGUAAUGUCUGGGAAACUGCCUGAUGGGGGGGGAUUACUACCGGAAACGGUAGCUAAUACCGCAUAUCACCAUCUGUGCCCAGUUGGGAUUAGCUAGAAGGUGGGGUAACGGCUUACCUAGGCGACGAUCCCUAGCUGGUCUGAGAGGGUGACCAGCCACACUGGAACUGAGACACGGUCCAGACUCCUACGGGAGGCAGCAGUGGGGAAUAUUGCACAAUGGGCGCAAGCCUGAUGGAGCCAUGCCGCGUGAGUGAAGAAGGCCUUCGGGUUGUAAAGCACUUUCAGCAGGGAAGCGUUACCCGCAGAAGAAGCACCGGCUAACUCCGUGCCAGCAGCCGCGGUAAUUC